rnacentral:lncRNA from 1 species
CUCCAAUCAAAUUGCCAUCAUUUUCCAGGUCCUCCACUAAUUGGUGGUAGACUAAAUUGUUUCCGUUGACCAUCACUCUCCAGGUCCUCCACUCAAAUUGCCAAAAGUUUGCAUUCGUUUGUGGCCCUGCAAAUGGUUUUGAAGUUUCCACUUUCCAACACUAUAAGGAAAUCGACUUCCCCUAACUUACUUGUCUUGUCAUCAAAACCAGAGUUCAUGCCGCGGGAACAAACCAACUUCUGAAGAUCCAUCACCAAAUGACUAAACCAACCCUAACAUCUUCUCUCCACACCCAUCUCUGCUUCCUUCUCUUCCUCCCCCUCCUCCUCAUCAGCCAUGCCAACUCUCAGUCAUUGCAAGACCAAGAACAAGCUGUUCUGCUAAAACUAAAGUCAUACUUGCAAUCUCCACCGUUCCUCAGUCAUUGGAUUCCAUCAACAUCAAACACUUCCCACUGUUCCUGGCAGCCUGAGAUCACCUGCACAAACAACUCCGUCACCGGAUUGUCUCUGGUCAACACGAACAUCACCCUACCAGUUCCACCUUUCAUUUGUGAUCUCAAGAACCUCACACACAUUGAUCUCAGCUACAACUACUUUGCUGGAGAGUUCCCAAAAGCUUUCUACAACUGUUCAAAGCUACAGUACUUGAACCUCUCUCAAAACUCCUUUGAUGGCAAGAUUCCUGACAAUAUCGACAGCUUGCCUAGGCUUCAAUACCUUGACCUUGGCGCUAACUACUUUUCUGGUGACAUACCGGCGGCUAUUGGGCGGUUACAAGAGCUCAGGAACCUGCAGCUGUAUAUGAACCACUUUAAUGGUUCCGUGCCACCAGAAAUAGGUAACUUGUCCAAUCUUAAACACCUAAGUCUCUCUUUCAAUACAAAACUUGUGCCAUGGAAUCUGCCUUCCAAUUUCACCAAGUUGAAAAACUUGAAGAAUUUGUAUAUACGCGGAUCGAAUUUGAUUGGAGAACUCCCCGGAACACUUGGAGAAAUGGCAGCACUGGAAGAAUUGGAUUUGGCAUACAACAGUUUAAAUGGGACAAUCCCAAGUGUUUUGUUUCUGUUGAAGAAUUUGAGUAUAAUCUAUCUCUACAACAACAGCCUGUCUGGGGAUGUACCUCAAGUGGUUGAAGCAUUGAACUUGACUGUCAUUGAUAUUUCUGCAAACCAUUUAACAGGCCGAAUACCACAAGAUUAUGGAAACCUUACCAAAUUAACAUGGUUAGCUUUGUUUUUAAAUGGUUUUUCUGGUGCGGUUCCAGCAAGCAUUGGCCGUCUACCAAAUCUCAAACAGUUCAGAGUGUUCAUCAAUAAUUUGUCUGGAACAUUGCCUCCAGACUUGGGAAGGUAUUCAGAGCUUGAAGGGUUCGAGGUUUCGGGGAAUAGGCUCACUGGCAAACUGCCAGACCAUUUGUGCUAUCGGGGUAAGCUGUCAACACUUGUAGCUUAUGAGAACAAUCUCACUGGGGAGUUACCAAGCUCUCUUGGAAAUUGCACUAGUUUAACAGAAGUGAAGGUUUAUGAUAAUGGAUUGUCUGGGAACAUUCCUAGUGGCAUGUGGACAGCACCAAACUUGGGUCAGGUAAUGAUGAGCAACAACUCUUUUACCGGUGAGCUUCCUGAGAAAAUAUCUCGGAGUCUUACACGGCUGGAAAUAAGAGAUAACAGAUUUUCAGGUAACAUUCCAACCGGGAUGUCAUCCUGGAACUUGAAGGUUUUUGACGCCGGUAAUAACCUUUUUAACGGUACUAUCCCUCAGGAACUUACUGCUCUUCCUAGCUUAAUCACUCUUUCUCUUGAUCAGAAUCAGCUUACUGGCUUCCUUCCAUCAGAGAUUAUAUCAUGGAAAUCACUCAACAUUCUUAAUUUCAGUCGAAAUAAACUCUCUGGACCAAUUCCAGCGGGACUUGGUCUUCUACCAGUCCUUACUGCACUGGACCUUUCGGAAAACCAACUUUCUGGCCAAAUUCCAGCUCAACUUGGGCAUCUGAAGCUCAGCAACUUCAAUCUCUCUUCCAAUCACCUAUCUGGGAAGAUCCCAAUUGAAUUUGAAAAUCCUGCUUAUGACGGAAGCUUCUUGGACAAUCAAGGUCUCUGUGCAACUAGCCCCUCAGCAAAACUCAGCAUAUGUAAUUCUCAACCUCGAAAGUCCAGCAAAAUUUGGUCUACAUAUCUUGCAUUGAUCUUAACUUUCGGCAUACUUUUGUCCUUGUUGGCUUUGUCCUUAUCAUUCUUCAUGGUCAGAGGUUAUUGGAAGAGAAACAGAUCGGGUUCUGGUUGGAAGCUCACCGCAUUUCAGAGGUUGAAUUUCAGUGUGUCAAAAAUUCUCUCAGGAUUGACGGAAGGUAAUUUGAUUGGACGUGGAGGAUCAGGAAAAGUUUAUUGUGUUCCUGUCAAUCGUACAGGCGAUGUUGUUGCCGUGAAAAAGAUUUGGAAAGAUAAGAAGUUAGAAGAGAAGCUUGAAAAAGAAUUUCUUGCAGAAGUCAAGAUAUUGAGUUCCAUUCGACAUGCCAACAUAGUUAAGCUGAUGUGCUGUAUAUCCAAGGACAAUUCAAAACUACUUGUCUAUGAGUACUCGGAGAAUCGAAGUCUGGAUCGAUGGCUGCACAAGAGAAACAGGCCAUCCAAUCUCUCUAGGUCAGUCCACCAUGUUGUGCUGGACUGGCCUCAGAGGUUGCAUAUUGCAGUGGGGGCUGCUCAGGGCCUCCGCUAUAUGCAUCAUGACUGUGUGCCACCCGUUGUGCAUCGAGAUGUGAAAUCGAGUAACAUCUUGUUAGACUCUGAUUUUAAUGCAAAAAUAGCAGAUUUUGGGCUAGCCAAGAUGUUGGUCAAGCAAGGAGAACUUGCUACAAUGUCGGCUGUUGCUGGCUCCUUUGGCUACAUUGCUCCAGGUAAACCUUGCACCCUACAAAUGUUAAAGUUCGUUCCUAAAGAAAUAUGUGUUAUUUUUCCUCUGUUUCUAUUAGCAAUCUCACAGGUUCUAUUUUAUUUUAUUUUCACUUGAAUGCAGAAUGUGCUCAUAGAAUACGAGUGAAUGAGAAGAUUGAUGUAUAUAGUUUUGGGGUCGUCCUUCUGGAGUUGACCACCGGAAAGGAAGCUAAUGAUGGUGACGAACACACUGCUCUUGCCGAAUGGGCAUGGCGCCAUGUUCAAGAAGACAACCCUCUUGCCGAUGCUUUGGACAAGGACAUCAAAGAACCUUCGUACUUGGAUGAAAUGUGCUCCGUUUUCAGACUUGGCAUCUAUUGCACCGAGAAACUUCCUUCUGCUAGGCCUUCCAUGAAGGACGUUACGCAAAUCUUGCUCCGAUGCGGCCAUCCAGGAGUUCACAGAGAAAAGACUGAUUAUGUUGGUGCUCCUCUGCUCAAGAAUUCGAAGCACGACCAGAUACUGGAAGACGGUGAUGGUAGUUUGGCAACAAAUGUUUGAUAGGCUUGGUUGAGUUCAACAAGAGGAAUUAGAAGUAAAACUAGCAAAGGUGCCCGCGCAAUGCUGCGGAUUUUAAAACUGUCUGAAAUAUGUACAAAGUUAUGAAAAUAUGUAGCAAGUUUAAGUUAAAAGAUAAAAACUAAUAACAUGUUUUAUAUGUUGCUUGUUAUCUUAAAAUAUUGAUCAUAUUUUAUUAAACCAAGCAACAAUCAAAAUAUCAACAGUUGAGCUGCUCUUUGUUCAAGAGAGUUUGGACAUGUCUAUACAUAUAUGCUACUGGUGGGGGAAGGGGAUUUUUCUGCCUUGAUGUCUGUUGAAAAGGGAUCUAUC